rnacentral:lncRNA from 1 species
ACUCACGCCACUUUUCCCUCUUUUUUUGCCCAAACCCAUAAUUUUCCCACUUUUCUUUCUUUUUAUCAUAGGAAUUACAAAGCUAGGGUAUACGUGAAAUUGAGCAGUUGAAACUCUGUGAAGUAUUAAGCCUUGUGUUCCUCUCUACAACCUAGGGUUUCAUUCUUCUUCUUCUCAAGGUAAGCUCUAAUCUUGUAGUACUAUUGUGAAAUUGGGUACCUUUUUUAUACUCCAAUUAUCUUUUUGUUUUUCAUGUAUUGGUUUUUUUUAUAAUUACAUAUACUACAAUUUUAUAAUUAUAUUCAGAUUUUAACAUUGCUGAUGAAUGUAGAGGAGUUGCUUUUAUUUAUUUAUUUAUUGAAUAUUGCUCGUUAUAUGUCAACUGUGUGUAUUCUCUUAUAGAGCAGAUUAUUUUUCAACUGGGUUUGAUUUUGAAUUACAUUCAGUUUUUCUGUUGUUUCCGUUUUAGCAUCCCUAUUUCUUCUACUAUUCUUGAACAAGACUAUUAUUGCAUGAGAAGUCUAAAUUAUGGUCUUCAAAAUUAUUAAUUAUUUUUGAAGCAAAAUUAGGAGAAAUCCACUUCCAUUAAAAACCAUGUCGAUAUGUAUAUGUAUCAUAGUUAUGGUCUAAUUAACUAUUCUAUAGCUUAUAAAAGAGAAAGAGUAAAGGAAAACUAACAAAGUUAUAUCUUAAGCAGAAUUUACAGGGUUUGUUUGUAUUUAGUUUUGAAAAUAUUUUUCUGUGACCUAUGUGUUUCCAUUGGAUUUUAAUAAAAUUAAUGAUAAGUUUUUCUGUUCUUUUACCCCAAAGAGCUUAAAAAUAUACUAUUUCACUGAAUUGCUAUACAAUCAUGGAUGAGAUUUAUUACCAACAUGAUGACAUAUAAGUGAAGCUAUACUGAUAAUUCUGCUAAUUGGAGUUUAGUUUGACCUUAUUUGUGUUGCUUUAAGUACUACAUCAUGAGUUAGACUCCAUAUUUAGAGUCCCUUAGUUUUAAGAAUCAUGUUAACAGAGAACUUGAAGUAAGUGAUGACUUUGUUCACGUGCUAUGUGCUAUCAGAUGUUGAAACAAUUAGAAAAUCACGUCUUGUUGUAUGAAUAUUAAGAAUGCACUUUUUACUUAAAAUAUUGGUGAGUGGUGUAUCAGUAAAGAACAUAUGAUUUUGGACAUAAAAGUUAAGCUUCAGGUGAAGUAUUUUGUUAAACCUUAAAUCCUCCAAUCCUUUUUUAUCACAUGCUUCCUUCUAUAGUAUUCUUUCUCUUCAGUUGUACUGUAUAUCUGUAUCAUAUUAGUUUAAAAUGAAGAUUGCAAAAGCACUACUAUUUUUUGGAAAAGCUAAAGAGUUGAAAGGUGGUAACUCCUCAAAAGUUGCAUUGUUGGAAUAGUUGAAUGCUACUGUAAAAGAAAAUAAAUCACUAAAAGGAUGUUUGGAAGGGCUAGAGAGUAAAUAUGAUGAGCUAGGGAGUAAAUACACACAACAUGCAAAGAUAGUGUUUGAUCAGCCUUCAUCAACAUCUUCAAGUGAUCCAUAGAUUGAAUCAUUUAAUAGGUUAGUAAUUGAAAAUCCUAUUUUACUCUAUGAUGAAAAUAUUGCAACGCUCAUGUGAAUUUUUUCUUUAUGUCAUUAACAUUUAUGAAUAAAUAAAAACAUAGUUAAUGAAACAAGUGAAUUUAAGCAAGAAUGAAGUUUCAAAUAUUAUGUACAUGGUGCACUUGUGCUUGCUAACAUACCAGGAGAUAAAGGACUUUUGGAGAGAUUUUACAUUAGAUAUAUGUUGCUGUCUACUAAAGUAAUGUGCCGCUGUCUGCUCCUUUUUUUUUAUCUGGCGUUGCACCUCUCUCUCUCUCUCUCUCCAAUGAUCUUAUCUCUAUUUCUUUCCUGUUACACUUAUUAUUAUCUCUCUUUCUACCUCACCAUUUUUAGUAGAAACUAGAAUACCCACAAAGCAGGACAAUUCUGUCAUAUCACUUAAGCUCUGAGCCUGCAAUUUUUUUGAAAUAACUAAAGGGUACUCUACUUUUCUUUGUUCUUUUCUAUAAUUUUCUACUUUAGCUUCUAGCUUUAUUUCCUUUUGAAUUGUUGCCUUCUUUUUAUUUCUCUCUGUUUGUUUCUUGAUGAUAAAAUCGCGAGCUUUGUUGGUUAGUAUGUUGUUGUUAUAAUUAUUGUUAUUAUGGUUACUAGUAAAAUGCUACAACUAUUAUAACUAUUAUGGAGAAUCUGCUAUUCUAUCUAAUAUCUCCACACUUUUAAAGAAUAUGGCUUCAAGACUUAAAACUUAGAAUGUUAUACGGAGUCCUCCAGUCGUAUAAUCAUAAAUUAAAAAAUUACGCACUGUGGUGAAAGACAUGUUACACUAGCCAUCUUGCAGACAGACUUAAGGUUUUCUUUUCUUAAAUGCUUGGUCAUUGUUCUCCCUUUAAUAAGUACUAGUUCAUUUUUUCGUAAGCUGGAGGCAGAUUGCCAAAUGGUAUCCAGGAACAUUGGUUAAGAUUCAUGACGUUUGUUUUGGUUUUGUGUCAAGGAAAAUUUUGGAAAGGUGAAAAAGUAUAUUUUGGGUCCAAUAAUGAUUGCGUAAUUUAGUAUAAGUUAGUCUGGUACUUGGCUAGAAUUUAAUUGAACUUAUCACUUCUUUGGCUAGUCAACUUACUUCUCGUGAAUAUGGUUAUCUAUCUGUGCAUUCGAUAAUUUAAGGUGUUAUCUGUUCAUUUUCCCUUUAAAGUGUUUAUUUUCUUCUUUAGUUAUUUAUUCUUUGAUACUAAACUCAAAUAAAUUUGUUAUUUUAACAGAUCAAAAAUUUAAAAUCUGAAGAACCUAUAAUUGAAGAAAGUGUAGAGCAAGUUGAAGUUCAAGAGGUUUUUGGUUCGUCAUCGAUGGUUUAAAGACACUGUCUUAUGUACAUAUAUAUGCUGCCAUUUUAUUUUUAUUCUUUUUAGGAAUUAUUUAAAAUGAUGCUUAACUCACCUCACUUUAUGCUUCUAGUUGUCUCCUAUCUGGGUUUGCAUUAUUUUUACUUUUCAUUAUUUUAGCAAGAUGGGUUUGUUACAAUUUGGAUUGGUUUCUCGUAAAUAUGAUACUUUAGUUUUUUGUAUUA